rnacentral:rRNA from 1 species
UACCACCCUGAAUGCGCCACAUCUUGUCCGAUUUCGGAAGCUAAGCAGGGUCGGGCCUGGUU